UGAAGGAUUUAUUCAAUACAAAAACCUUCCUUUUAAACUUCGUUGUAGCAAAAAAAAUGGUUCUACCUUCAAAUGACUCCAAUUAUAAGGAUACAUGUUGUACUAUAUUUAGAGCCAUCUCGUUAUGGAACACUCAAGAUAGCAAGACCAUAUCCUCUAAAAGUUCUGAGGUGUUCAAAAAAUAUAUCAAAAAUUGGGAAAUCGUAGAAGACUGAGAUUAGUCUUAUCAUCGAGAACCUUGGGGUAUUGCGUACUGAUAUAAACAUUAUGAUUCUCAUAAAACCAAUAUUUUAAAUAUUAUUGAUGUAGACUUUUUUUUUCUUUUUAUUAUACUUUGUAUGGUGUUAGUGUUGUGGUUUAUAAUAAAAAUA